AGCGAACGCUGGCGGCAGGCCUAACACAUGCAAGUCGAACGAACCUUUCGGUGUUAGUGGCGGACGGGUGAGUAACACGUGGGAACGUGUCUUUAGGUUCGGUCUAACUCAGGGACACUUGUGCUAAUAACGAAUGUGCCCUUCGGGGGAAAGAUUUAUCGCCUUUAGAGCGGCCCGCGUCUGAUUCGCUAGUUGGCUGAGGUAAUGGCUCACCAAGGCGACGAUCAGUAGCUGGUCUGAGAGGAUGAUCAGCCACAUUGGGACUGAGACACGGCCCAAACUCCUACGGGAGGCAGCAGUGGUGAAUCUUGCGCAAUGGGCGAAAGCCUGACGCAGCCAUGCCGCGUGAAUGAUGAAGGUCUUAGGAUUGUAAAAUGCUUUCACCGGGGACGAUAAUGACGGUACCCGGAGAAGAAGCCCCGGCUAACUGCGUG
rnacentral:rRNA from 1 species